AGAGGAGGAAGCAGGGCAGCCAAUUCUGAUUCCGGCCUCCUAUUAAUUUCAGGAAAGGAUAAAUCAGGGCGAUUCUUUCUUUUCAGAGUGACUGGCUCCCCCUCUGCCAACACGGUUGCUAAGCAAAGCCUGGGCCUCGCUGUGUGUGUGGGCAUGCACCUCCCGGCCUGCAAGUUCAUCAAGAGAGGGCAACGAGAAAGACUGGCAGGAAAACAGGCUCUGAGCAAGAUAGCUAGCUCCAAGGGGCUAAGACCCAAAGACCUGAACACACUGCAACAGAGCAAAGCACGCACUAGUGUUGGAUGAAGUCAGCCCGAGAGGUGAUGCUGGUGAAACUGCACCGGGACGGCUCUCUGAGGACCACUGACAUAAGGCACGGCCCUCCCUGACCCCAGACCAACCCAGGGGUUUUCACUCAGGAAUUGGCCACAACUACAGCACAACCAGCAGCCUCCUAGAGCUGAUUCACCUGCUCCUCCUCAGUUUCCCGAGCAGUGGAGAGAUACAGGACCCGGGCUCUGCCAGAUCCCAUUCUAUGCCCCUGUUUUACACAUGUGGAAACUGAGGUUCAUAGAGGUCACACAAUCUGACCAAGGUGAGAGUUAGCAAUCAAAGCAUGUUUGACUGGGUCACAGGAUCCCUGAGCAUGUGCUCUUUCUGCCACUCCGACUGUGGAACUGUCUACAGGCUGCCGGUGUGGGAGUGCGGGGUUGGGGGCGGGGAGUGGCACAGAGACAGAGGUCUAGAACCACAUCGUGUGAAGUAAUUGAGGGGUUCUGAGACUUGGACAGGGCCGUCAUAACUGCCCUCAACAUCUGAUGGGGCUGCAAUAGAAACAAGAGAGCAUGAUUAUUUUCUGGGCCCUAGAAGGCAAAACCAGGGCCCCUGGUGGGAAUUACAGGACAGCAGGGAUUGCCUCUCAUUCAGAAGCCUGACAGCCAGCACUUCCCAUCACAGAUGGGUCCACAGGAAGCCACCCGGCUGCUAGAGCUGCUUCCAGCUUUGGGAAAGAGGUUGUGCCAGGGACCUCUAGGCCUUCUUGGCUCCUUCUUAUAUCAUAUCUCUGCUUACACAUACAUGUGUUUUGUUUUUCUUAUUGUUGAGCUUUUUGUUGGUGUUGCUACUGUUUUUCUUUUGGCCUUAAGACCCGAAUAGGGCUGGGCGCAGUGGCCCACGCCUAGAAUCCCAGCACUUUGGAAGGUUGAGGCGAGUGGAUCAUUUGAGCCCGGGAGCUUGAGACCAGCCUGGG
rnacentral:lncRNA from 1 species